AAUGCAAGUGAAGAUAAAAAGACAGGGACAUCAGAACUCUGUUUAUGGAGUAAGGAUUGAUCAAGUCUGUAAUGGGAAUCUCUCUGAUGCAUG
rfam:Helianthus annuus linkage group 2, whole genome shotgun sequence.